rnacentral:sRNA from 1 species
AGAAGAACUUUGACAGAAAAGCCUUCUUACAAUCAUCCCAGGUGGUGAUUGAGUCAUGGGGCAGAUUCUUCUCCCAGAUAUGUGCUUUGUCACCCAAGGAAAAUGGGAACAAACGGAGCUUGAAUCCAUCUUCACUGACACCAUUGAUCUUCGUUAGGUUGCAGAGCCUAUCGAAUUCAUCAAGGUGGUCGAGUGGAUCCUCCAUUGGCAAACCAUGGAAUUUGUUCCCCUGAAUCAUCAAGAUGAGACCACUCUUAAUCUCGAAGUUGUUAUUCUGGAUAGCAGGAGGUGCGAUUCCCUUCCUCUGACGGUGAUCACGUGGUGCAUCUCCAGCACCAAUGUUGGCAUGGCCAUUUUGCUGAUUCUGUUCUUCAGCCAUAACGAGUGGUUGCUGAGGUACAGGGUUGACUGUGGUUCUCCUUUUUCUGAUUUCGCGGGCUGUGCGGUUGAUAUUGUCGUUGAAAAGGAGGUUCUGGUUGCCUGUUGAUCGAGUUCGCAUACAGUAGAGGUGUACCUGGAUCAAGAAGACAACAAGAAAAACACACAGUUAGUAACUAAAAAGAAAAUUGAAAAAGAACUUGAUCUAAGCAAGUCUGAAAUCUCAAAUGUAACAAACAAACACCCAAUUGGCAACGGCGCCAAAUUGAUAAUAGGUUUUUCAGUCAAUUAUCCUAAAACACCAAUCAUGUCGUUGUAGUAUUUUAGGUUGUCAAUCCAAAUGGGUGUGAUGCUAACAAUCAAGAUGUGAUCAGAAGUCACUAAGUCAAGCCAAGCAAUAACAGGUUUUGGUGUGUUCUAGCAAUCCUAAGUGAACAAGCAGGAAACAGAAAAUCAAACAGAAACAGUAAAACACUCGACCAACACAGCUCUUUGUAGAGCCCUGGGUGAGGUCGAGUGACAGGUCGAGUAACAGACAGAAAAUGAAACAAAGAUACUCGACUGCACAGUCUGUUGCCAGACAACUGGGUGGUCGAGUAUCAGGUCGAGUAACAGUAAAGAAUUGCAGAAACUAAGCAACAGGUGACAGGAUGCAGUAAACAGCAGUAGAGUACACAAUAAAAUCAAUCAGACAAAGAAUUCCUAAGGAUGGGGUAAUUGAGUAGUUUCGUUUCCUCAGUUUACAGGUGAUUGACAUGCUCAACAAAUUAACCCUAGACAACAAGUUCGUUAACCAAAUCUAAGUGCCACCGCAACAGAGACUCUCAAGCUAACCUAGUCCCAGACUCAAUCACCAUUGACGAGAGCUAACCUAACAGGCAUUACGAAUCAACAAGUUAAAGCCAAAACGCUCCCUGCAACCAAUACCUUGGUACAGGGUCACGAAUCUCUGGAAUUAGUGGUUCAGGCAUUUCAUCGAACACCUUUUGGGCGCGGAAAUGUCUGGGCUCAAAUUCCAGUUGAUCAGAAAACAAUAGGCAUUAAGAACAACUAAUCCAGAAGGGAUCUAUCAAUCAAUACUCAAUCACCUAGCAUACUGAGAAUUCUACACUACUCUAACCCAUCCUCAGAAACCUAUUCACUACUCAGACAUCAUGACAGAAAGCAUAAACGUUGAACAUGUUGAAGACAUGAUAACAGCAGUAUGAUAACAGAAUGAAUAACAGUAAACGAAAAUCAAGAACAGAAACUGAAUAUUGAAUACUGAAUAGAUAAAGAGAAAUCCGGAUUACAAAAAGUCUAGAACACAAGGUCUGCGGAAAUAAAAACUAGGUAA